GGUUAUGAUCAGUUGAGGACUCUCUGAUGCAGGUUAUGAUCAGUUGAGGACUCUCUGAUGCAGGUUAUGAUCAGUUGAGGACUCUCUGAUGCAGGUUAUGAUCAGUUGAGGACUCUCUGAUGCAGGUUAUGAUCAGUUGAGGACUCUUUGCUGACAACAGCAGCCGUUAUUGUGUUACAUUACAUUUAUUAAUUUUGCAGACAAGAGGACCCUUUCUCUCAGUAACAGCACUGUUUAACCCUUUCCCUCAGUAACAGCACUGUUUAACCCUUUCCCUCAGUAACAGCACUGUUUAACCCUUUCCCUCAGUAACAGCACUGUUUAACCCUUUCCCUCAGUAACAGCACUUUUUAAAGCAAUAACUAUUAUUGGUGUUACAAAGAGACAGAGAAAGCGAUGGAGUGAGAGAGAUUGAGAAAGAGAGGGAGAGAGAUGCAGUGAGAGAGGGAGAGAGAGAUGCAGUGAAAGAGAGAGGGAGAGAGAUGCAGUAAGGGGGAGAGAGAGAUGCAUU